UGGAUUAGAUACCCGGGUAGUCCUAGCAGUAAACGAUGUAGACUUGGCGUCGGUGGGUUUAAAGCCAUCGGUGCCGAAGCUAACGCGAUAAGUCUACCGCCUGGGGACUACGGCCGCAAGGUUAAAACUCAAAGGAAUUGACGGGGGCCCGCACAAGCAGCGGAGCGUGUGGUUUAAUUCGAUGCUACACGAAGAACCUUACCCGGGUUUGACAUGUGGGUGGUAGGGAUCCGAAAGGUGACCGACCCCUCGGGGAGCCCUCACAGGUGCUGCACGGCCGUCGCCAGCU
rnacentral:rRNA from 1 species